rnacentral:lncRNA from 1 species
GCAUGAUUGCUAAUGAGGCAACUCUCUACAAGAGACUUAAGGAAGAAAUAAAAAGAUAUAUGUCACUGUACAGCCUAAAAAUUAGCAAAGCCCAUACCAUAAUCAGUAUGCAAUGUCAUUUUGUAAUUUAAGAUUGUAAGAAGAAAAUUUUCGGAAUUUUUUAUGUGUGGUGAACAUUUUCAAUGAUCUAUGGACCAGGUUAGCUG